UACGGGGGGGGCAAGCGUUGUCCGGAAUCAUUGGGCGUAAAGCGCGCGUAGGCGGCCCGGUAAGUCCGCUGUAAAAGUCCAGGGCUCAACCCUGGAACGCCGGUGGAUACUGUCGGGCUAGAGUCCGGAAGAGGCGAGUGGAAUUCCUGGUGUAGCGGUGGAAUGCGCAGAUAUCAGGAGGAACACCGAUGGCGAAGGCAGCUCGCUGGGACGGUACUGACGCUGAGGCGCGAAAGCGUGGGGAGCGAACAGG
rnacentral:rRNA from 1 species